AUCAGCAAACACCAGGGUGAAAAGUAAACCCCGAAAUGGAUUAUCUACCCAGGGUUGGAGAUACCAAGUUCAUUGCGUUUCAGGGUCAGUUCCACUCUGUGCUAGACUACACACAUCAUGUAACCAAGAGCUGACAGUUGAGAAGAGCCACCAGGGAAGCUUUUGCAGAACAAUCUGCCGCUGCAGUUAUCAGCUCCUGGUCUUCUCUCAUGGCUGACAGAGAUGAGGCUGUCAUGACACGGACGGCAGGCUUCAGGAUUCACGGACAGCCCUACCCAAGAUGCCUCCCCACUCAAAGGCCACCUGGGAUUUCGAAGUCUUGAGAAAGAACUAAACAGCCACCCAACACAGAGUUGAAGAAUACAGGAAGAAGACAUGAAGAAUGGCAAUGCUGGCCUUCCUGCCCUCACCCCACUGGUGAACUACAACCUAUGGUGCUCUCCAAGUAAGAACCAGAAUCUUUGCACUCUCCUUGGCUGCUGCUGGAUCCCUUCCCACGUUCGCAUGGUCCCACUGGCCUGGAAAGCCACCUCACCUGCCCAGACUGCAGAUGCUGAAACCAUUCAGUCUCCUCUCGGUGGCUCCUCCAGACACCAUCUCCUAACUGUGUCACUCUUAUGUUGAUAUUUGGGCACAUAUGGGGACAGGUGCUCAUCAAAGUACUUAAAACACUUUGUUCAGUGAGUGGCUAGGCCUUGAAAAGCAGGAACCACUAUUAGUCUAUUGUUAAGAUGAGAAGCAGGCUCCAGCCCAAGGUCAGUGGUGGAGCUGGGAUUCGAACCCAGGUAGUACCAUUAUAGUACAGAGGGAGUGGGCAGGACACGUGUUAAGUUGUUCGGUACGAUGACACCAGGCUUAUAACACAUCACCCCAGGUAAUAACUAAGACAACAUUAAAUGUCACCAGAAAAGGCGGGUCCCCUGCCGUAUAAGCCCCAAGAAGGGAGAGAUUUUGUAUUCCUGGAGCUUAGGCUCUGCCUAGCAUAAUGUAGCUGCACAAUUAAAUACUGUUAAGUGAGUAUGGAUACAGAAUGGGGUUCAUUUGUCUUCUGAUGCCUACACACCCAACAUCUUUGAGGAUUGUUCUAAAGUAGUUUGCUUUGCUUUUAGGUAGGAACUCAUUGUGUGGCCCUGGCUGGCUUGGAAUUUGCUAUAUAGACCAGGCUGGCCCCUGCAUCUCUGUGCUAGGAUUAAAGGCUUG